CAGUCGAGCGGACAGAAGGGAGCUUGCUCCCGGAUGUUAGCGGCGGACGGGUGAGUAACACGUGGGUAACCUGCCUGUAAGACUGGGAUAACUCCGGGAAACCGGAGCUAAUACCGGAUAGUUCCUUGAACCGCAUGGUUCAAGGAUGAAAGACGGUUUCGGCUGUCACUUACAGAUGGACCCGCGGCGCAUUAGCUAGUUGGUGGGGUAAUGGCUCACCAAGGCGACGAUGCGUAGCCGACCUGAGAGGGUGAUCGGCCACACUGGGACUGAGACACGGCCCAGACUCCUACGGGAGGCAGCAGUAGGGAAUCUUCCGCAAUGGACGAAAGUCUGACGGAGCAACGCCGCGUGAGUGAUGAAGGUUUUCGGAUCGUAAAGCUCUGUUGUUAGGGAAGAACAAGUGCGAGAGUAACUGCUCGCACCUUGACGGUACCUAACCAGAAAGCCACGGCUAACUACGUGCCAGCAGCCGCGGUAAUACGUAGGUGGCAAGCGUUGUCCGGAAUUAUUGGGCGUAAAGGGCUCGCAGGCGGUUUCUUAAGUCUGAUGUGAAAGCCCCCGGCUCAACCGGGGAGGGUCAUUGGAAACUGGGAAACUUGAGUGCAGAAGAGGAGAGUGGAAUUCCACGUGUAGCGGUGAAAUGCGUAGAGAUGUGGAGGAACACCAGUGGCGAAGGCGACUCUCUGGUCUGUAACUGACGCUGAGGAGCGAAAGCGUGGGGAGCGAACAGGAUUAGAUACCCUGGUAGUCCACGCCGUAAACGAUGAGUGCUAAGUGUUAGGGGGUUUCCGCCCCUUAGUGCUGCAGCUAACGCAUUAAGCACUCCGCCUGGGGAGUACGGUCGCAAGACUGAAACUCAAAGGAAUUGACGGGGGCCCGCACAAGCGGUGGAGCAUGUGGUUUAAUUCGAAGCAACGCGAAGAACCUUACCAGGUCUUGACAUCCUCUGACAACCCUAGAGAUAGGGCUUUCCCUUCGGGGACAGAGUGACAGGUGGUGCAUGGUUGUCGUCAGCUCGUGUCGUGAGAUGUUGGGUUAAGUCCCGCAACGAGCGCAACCCUUGAUCUUAGUUGCCAGCAUUCAGUUGGGCACUCUAAGGUGACUGCCGGUGACAAACCGGAGGAAGGUGGGGAUGACGUCAAAUCAUCAUGCCCCUUAUGACCUGGGCUACACACGUGCUACAAUGGACAGAACAAAGGGCUGCAAGACCGCAAGGUUUAGCCAAUCCCAUAAAUCUGUUCUCAGUUCGGAUCGCAGUCUGCAACUCGACUGCGUGAAGCUGGAAUCGCUAGUAAUCGCGGAUCAGCAUGCCGCGGUGAAUACGUUCCCGGGCCUUGUACACACCGCCCGUCGCACCACGAGAGUUUGCAACACCCGAAGUCGGUGAGGUAACCUUU
rnacentral:rRNA from 2 species